UAUCUUUGUCGCGUUAUAGGUUCCGAGGCCGCAUCGCCGGCCGGGAUUAAAAGGGAAACCGGUGAAAAUCCGGUACAGUGCUCGCUGCUGUAAGUCCCCUUCUUCGUAAGAAACGGUUCAUCGCACUCUUUGCCACUGGCUCGAAGCCGGGAAGGCGCGGUGAGCGGGACGAGUCAGAAGACCUGCCUUGACGAUCGUGGAAUU
rnacentral:ncRNA from 2 species